ACGCUGGCGGCAGGCCUAACACAUGCAAGUCGAGCGGAUUUUGGUAGCUUGCUACCAAAGUUAGCGGCGGACGGGUGAGUAACGCGUAGGAAUCUACCUAGUAGUGGGGGAUAACGUUCCGAAAGGAACGCUAAUACCGCAUACGCCCUAAGGGGGAAAGGGGGGGAUCUUCGGACCUCUCGCUAUUAGAUGAGCCUGCGUAGGAUUAGCUAGUUGGUAGGGUAAAGGCCUACCAAGGCGACGAUCCUUAACUGGUCUGAGAGGAUGAUCAGUCACACUGGAACUGAGACACGGUCCAGACUCCUACGGGAGGCAGCAGUGGGGAAUAUUGGACAAUGGGGGAAACCCUGAUCCAGCCAUGCCGCGUGUGUGAAGAAGGCCUUCGGGUUGUAAAGCACUUUCGGUCAGAAAGAAGGGUGUGUAGUUAAUAUCUGCAUGCCUUGACGGUACUGACAUAAGAAGCACCGGCUAACUCCGUGCCAGCAGCCGCGGUAAUACGGAGGGUGCAAGCGUUAAUCGGAAUUACUGGGCGUAAAGCGCGCGUAGGCGGUUUGUUAAGUCGGAUGUGAAAGCCCUGGGCUCAACCUGGGAACUGCAUACGAUACUGGCAAGCUAGAGUGCAAUAGAGGGGGGUAGAAUUCCAGGUGUAGCGGUGAAAUGCGUAGAUAUCUGGAGGAAUACCGGUGGCGAAGGCGGCCCCCUGGAUUGACACUGACGCUGAGGUGCGAAAGCGUGGGUAGCAAACAGGAUUAGAUACCCUGGUAGUCCACGCCGUAAACGAUGUCAACUAGCUGUUGGGACUCUUGUA
rnacentral:rRNA from 1 species